rnacentral:rRNA from 1 species
UACGGAGGGGGCUAGCGUUGUUCGGAAUUACUGGGCGUAAAGCGCACGUAGGCGGCUUUGUAAGUUAGAGGUGAAAGCCCCGGGGCUCAACUCCGGAAUUGCCUUUAAGACUGCAUCGCUAGAAUUGUGGAGAGGUAAGUGGAAUUCCGAGUGUAGAGGUGAAAUUCGUAGAUAUUCGGAAGAACACCAGUGGCGAAGGCGACUUACUGGACAC